rnacentral:rRNA from 1 species
GAGUCUAACAUGUGCGCGAGUCAUUGGGACAUUCAAACCUAAAGGCGCAAUGAAAGUGAAGGUCAGCCUUGCGCUGACCGAGGGAGGAUGGGCCGCGUCACGAUGCGGCCCCGCACUCCCGGGGCGUCUCGUUCUCAUUGCGAGAGGAGGCGCACCCAGAGCGUACACGUUGGGACCCGAAAGAUGGUGAACUAUGCCUGGUCAGGACGAAGUCAGGGGAAACCCUGAUGGAGGUCCGUAGCGAUUCUGACGUGCAAAUCGAUCGUCGGAACUGGGUAUAGGGGCGAAAGACUAAUCGAACCAUCUAGUAGCUGGUUCCCUCCGAAGUUUCCCUCAGGAUAGCUGGCACUCGCGUGCGAAACGUACACGAGUCUCAUCCGGUAAAGCGAAUGAUUAGAGGCCUUGGGGCCGAAACGACCUCAACCUAUUCUCAAACUUUAAAUGGGUGAGAUCUCUGGCUUGCUUGAACUAUGAAGCCACGAGAUUUCGGAU